rnacentral:rRNA from 1 species
AGUCGAACGCUUCUUUUUCCACCGGAGCUUGCUCCACCGGAAAAAGAGGAGUGGCGAACGGGUGAGUAACACGUGGGUAACCUGCCCAUCAUAAGGGGAUAACACUUGGAAACAGGUGCUAAUACCGUAUAACAAUCAAAACCGCAGGUUUUGAUUUGAAAGGCGCUUUCGGGUGUCGCUGAUGGAUGGACCCGCGGUGCAUUAGCUAGUUGGUGAGGUAACGGCUCACCAAGGCCACGAUGCAGAGCCGACCUGAGAGGGUGAUCGGCCACAUUGGGACUGAGACACGGCCCAAACUCCUACGGGAGGCAGCAGUAGGGAAUCUUCGGCAAUGGACGAAAGUCUGACCGAGCAACGCCGCGUGAGUGAAGAAGGUUUUCGGAUCGUAAAACUCUGUUGUUAGAGAAGAACAAGGAUGAGAGUAACUGUUCAUCCCUUGACGGUAUCUAACCAGAAAGCCACGGCUAACUACGUGCCAGCAGCCGCGGUAAUACGUAGGUGGCAAGCGUUGUCCGGAUUUAUUGGGCGUAAAGCGAGCGCAGGCGGUUUCUUAAGUCUGAUGUGAAAGCCCCCGGCUCAACCGGGGAGGGUCAUUGGAAACUGGGAGACUUGAGUGCAGAAGAGGAGAGUGGAAUUCCAUGUGUAGCGGUGAAAUGCGUAGAUAUAUGGAGGAACACCAGUGGCGAAGGCGGCUCUCUGGUCUGUAACUGACGCUGAGGCUCGAAAGCGUGGGGAGCAAACAGGAUUAGAUACCCUGGUAGUCCACGCCGUAAACGAUGAGUGCUAAGUGUUGGAGGGUUUCCGCCCUUCAGUGCUGCAGCUAACGCAGUAAGCACUCCGCCUGGGGAGUACGACCGCAAGGUUGAAACUCAAAGGAAUUGACGGGGGCCCGCACAAGCGGUGGAGCAUGUGGCUUAAUUCGAAGCAACGCGAAGAACCUUACCAGGUCUUGACAUCCUUUGACCACUCUAGAGAUAGAGCUUCCCCUUCGGGGGGCAAAUUGACAGGUGG